UACAGUGACAUACAGGAGUCGUACAUUAGGCGCGCGCGCGAGUCCGAAUUUAUUGAUGCGCAAACAAACCGUGCAUGUGCGCGCUCGACUCACUGAUCGCUAUGACAUCGUAUUUCUGCAUUAACACAGUUCAAUAUAUUCACGUAGUUGUCGAAAUUAAUGUACUUUGAGUGUUUUAUAACGGAUGCUCGCCGAACAAGGUCCGAUGUUUCUCUUUCAUUUUUGGUGUUGUCGCCUUCAUGAUGAUGAGUUGAAUUUCCUUCAUUUUAACGUUCUGCGAUGACGUGUGCGCGCGAGGCGCCGACGUGAUCACUUGAGCUGAUCCUUGAACCAGUGAAAACACAUUCAAGGAAAUGAGAACUGAGACGGCAGAAAGCGAGGCACCUGUAUUCGAAGACCUUAGAGAAGUUCUCUUCUUCUCCUAUGAUCAAUGUGAUAUACUCCUUAGGAUUGUCAGAGUUCAUCUCUGAACAGUAGAUCUGAGAAGCAGAAGAGGUUCACUGAGCGAAUGAACCACGAGGGGAGCUGAAGAGAAAAGAGAGAGAGGCUUCCCUGGAUCCAGGAUGAGAGAGGAACGGAUAAUCAAAGGGCCUCGUAGAGGGAGGAUGGAUAUGAUGCGACAAGUCUGAAG